rnacentral:lncRNA from 1 species
AAACAAACAGCUAAGUGAUCAGGAGAUUCUCAGCCUCUAGGAAAAAGACUUUAGACUGUUGAUGCUGAAGAUGAUGCAAGACAUUGGAAAUAAACAGGAGGCAAAGAUGGAUAAUUUAUAGGAAACACUGAGCAAAGACAUACAAGAUAUAAAACUUAACCAAGAAGAGAUGCAAAAUACAAUCACUGAGAUAAAAAAUUCAUUAGAAGCAACCAACAGUGGCAUACAGGAGGCAGAAGAAUGAAUAAGCAAGGUGGAGGACAGAUUAGUGGAAAUCAUGGAUGCAGAACAGAAAAGAGAAAAAAGAUUGAAAACAAAUGAAGAGAGUCUCAGAGAACUCUGGGAAGACUGAGAAGUCUCUGGGACAACGUUAAAUGCACCAACAUCCGUAUUAUAGGGAAGGAGGAGAGAGAGAGAAAGGAACAGAAAAAAUAUUCGAAGAAAUAAUAGCCAAAAACUUCCCUAACAUGGGAAAGGAACCACUCACUCAAAUCCAGGAAGUACAACCAGUACCGUAUAAAAUAAACCCAAGGAGGAACAUUCCAAGACGCAUAUUAAUCAAACUGACCAAAAUAAAAGACAAAGAGAAAAUACUGAAAGCAGCUAGAGAAAAGCAACAAAUAACAUACAAGGGAACCCCCAAUAAAGUUAGCAGCAGAUUUUUCAGCAGAAACUUCAGACCAGAAGGGAAUGUCAUGAUAUACUUAACGUGAUGAAAGGAGAAAUUCUCCAACCAAGAUUACUUUACCCAGCAAGGCUCUCAUUCAGAUUUGAAGGAGAAAUCAGAAGCUUCACAGAUAAGCAAAAGCUAAGAGAAUUCAGCAACCCUAAACCAGCUUUAUAACAAAUACUCAAGGAACUUCUCUAGGCAGAAAAGAGAAGGCCACAACCAGAAACAAAAAUACCACAAAUGACAAGGCUCACCAGUAAAGGCAUGUAUACAGUGAAGAUACAAAAUCAUCCAUGCAUAAUUAUGCCACUAAAAUCAGAAAUCAUGAGAAGAGGAGGGUGCAAAUGCAGGACACUGGAGAUGCACUUGCAAUUAAGAGACCAACAACGGACAACAAUCUCAUAUAUAUACAUAUAUACACACACACACACACACACAUAUAUAUACACACAUAUAUAUAUUCAUAUCAAAACUUCAGAGUAAGUGCAAGCCAAAAAUCUACAAUUGAUACACACACAAGUAAGAAAAAUCAACUCAAAUACAGCACUAAAGAUAGUCAUCAAACCACAAGAGGAGAGAACAAGAGAGGAAAGGAAGAAAAAAGAGCAACAAAAACAAAUCCAAAGCAUGAAUAAAAUGGCAAUAAGAACAUACAUAUCAAUAAUUACCUUAAGUGUUGAUGGACUAAACACCCCAACCAAAAGACAUAGACUGGCUGAAUGGAUACAAAAACAAGAUCCAUAUAUGUGCUGUCUUCAAGAGACCCAUUUCACUUCUAGUGACACAUACAGAUUGAAAGUGAGAGGAUGGAAGAAAAUAUUCUCUGCAAAUGGGAAUCAAAAGAAAGUCGGAGUAGCAAUACUCAUAUCAGACAAAAUAGACCUUAAAAUGAAGAAUAUUUUAGGGGACAAGGAAGGUCACUACCUAAUGAUCAAAGGAUCAAUCCAAUAAGAAGACAUAACAAUUUUAAAUAUCUAUGCACCCAACAUAGGUUCACCACAAUAUAUAAGGCAACUGCUAACAGCCUUAAAAGGAUGAAUUGACAAUAACACAAAAAUAGUGGGGGACUUUAGCAUCCCACUUGCAGCAAUGGACAGAUCAUCCAGACAGAAAAUCAGUAAGGAAACACAGGCCCUGAAUGAAGCAUUAGACCAGAUGGACUGAAUAUAUACUUAUAGGACAUUUCAUCCAAGAGCAACAGAAUACACAUUCUUCUCAAGUGCAUAUGGAACAUUCUCUAAGAUUGAUCACAUCCUGGGCCUUGGUAACUUUAAGAAAAUUGAAAUCAUAUCAAGCAUUUUUUUUCUGACCACGCUAUGUGACUGGAAGUCAACAACAAGGAAAAAACUGCAAAAAACACAAACACAUGGAGACUAAACAACAUGCUACUGAACAAAUAAUGGAUCAUUGAAGAAA